rnacentral:rRNA from 1 species
UACGGGAGGCAGCAGUGGGGAAUAUUGCACAAUGGGCGCAAGCCUGAUGCAGCCAUGCCGCGUGUAUGAAGAAGGCCUUCGGGUUGUAAAGUACUUUCAGUCGUGAGGAAGGUGUUAAGGUUAAUAACCUUAGCAAUUGACGUUAGCGACAGAAGAAGCACCGGCUAACUCCGUGCCAGCAGCCGCGGUAAUACGGAGGGUGCGAGCGUUAAUCGGAAUUACUGGGCGUAAAGGGCACGCAGGCGGUUAAUUAAGUUGGAUGUGAAUCCCCGGGCUUAACCUGGGAAUGGCAUUCAAGACUGGUUAGCUAGAGUCUUGUAGAGGGGGUAGAAUUCCAUGUGUAGCGGUGAAAUGCGUAGAGAUGUGGAGGAAUACCGGGUGGCGAAGGCGGCCCCUGGGACAAAGGACUGACGCUCAUGUGCGAAAGCGUGGGGAGCGAAACAGGGAUUAGAUACC